CUACGGGCGGCAGCAGUGGGGAAUAUUGCACAAUGGGCGCAAGCCUGAUGCAGCCAUGCCGCGUGUGUGAAGAAGGCCUUCGGGUUGUAAAGCACUUUCAGCGGGGAGGAAGGCGGUGAGGUUAAUAACCUCAUCGAUUGACGUUACCCGCAGAAGAAGCACCGGCUAACUCCGUGCCAGCAGCCGCGGUAAUACGGAGGGUGCAAGCGCUAAUCGGAAUUACUGGGCGUAAAGCGCACGCAGGCGGUCUGUCAAGUCGGAUGUGAAAUCCCCGGGCUCAACCUGGGAACUGCAUUCGAAACUGGCAGGCUAGAGUCUUGUAGAGGGGGGUAGAAUUCCAGGUGUAGCGGUGAAAUGCGUAGAGAUCUGGAGGAAUACCGGUGGCGAAGGCGGCCCCCUGGACAAAGACUGACGCUCAGGUGCGAAAGCGUGGGGAGCAAACAGGAUUAGAUACCCUAGUAGUC
rnacentral:rRNA from 1 species